ACGGAAGGCAGCAGUGAGGAAUAUUGGUCAAUGGACGGAAGCCUGAACCAGCCAAGUCGCGUGAAGGAUGAAGGUAUUAUGUAUUGUAAACUUCUUUAGCAGCAGAGUAAUAAGGGGGUCGUGACCCCCGAUGCAAGUAUGCUGAAAAUAAGGAUCGGCUAACUCCGUGCCAGCAGCCGCGGUAAUACGGAGGAUCCGAGCGUUAUCCGGAUUUAUUGGGUUUAAAGGGUGCGCAGGCGGUUUUUUAAGUCAGUGGUUAAAUCGUGAGGCUCAACCUCAUCACGCCAUUGAUACUGGAAGACUUGAUUGCGGUUGAGGUUGGCGGAAUUCGUCGUGUAGCGGUGAAAUGCAUAGAUAUGACGAAGAACACCGAUUGCGUAGGCAGCUGACCAAGCCGUAAAUGACGCUCAUGCACGAAAGUGCGGGGAUCGAACAGGAUUAGAUACCCUGGUA
rnacentral:rRNA from 1 species